rnacentral:rRNA from 1 species
ACGGCGAACGGGUGAGUAACACGUGAGUAAUCUGCCCUCGGCACCGGGAUAGCCCGGGGAAACCCGGAUUAAUACCGGAUGGCCCACCAGCCCUCGGGGCGGUUGGAAAGGUAGCUUCGGCCUCCGGCCGAGGAGGAGCUCGCGGCGGAUUAGCUUGUUGGCGGGGUAACGGCCCACCAAGGCGACGAUCCGUAGCUGGUCUGAGAGGACGAUCAGCCACACUGGGACUGAGACACGGCCCAG